GAGUUUGAUCCUGGCUCAGGAUGAACGCUGGCGGCGUGCUUAACACAUGCAAGUCGAACGGGAAAUCUUUUAUUGAAGCUUCGGCAGAUAUAGAUUGUUUCUAGUGGCGGACGGGUGAGUAACGCGUGGGUAACCUGCCUUAUACAGGGGGAUAACAGUCAGAAAUGACUGCUAAUACCGCAUAAGCGCACAGAGCUGCAUGGCUCGGUGUGAAAAACUCCGGUGGUAUAAGAUGGACCCGCGUUGGAUUAGCUAGUUGGUGAGGUAACGGCCCACCAAGGCGACGAUCCAUAGCCGGCCUGAGAGGGUGAACGGCCACAUUGGGACUGAGACACGGCCCAGACUCCUACGGGAGGCAGCAGUGGGGAAUAUUGCACAAUGGAGGAAACUCUGAUGCAGCGACGCCGCGUGAAGGAUGAAGUAUUUCGGUAUGUAAACUUCUAUCAGCAGGGAAGAAAGUGACGGUACCUGACUAAGAAGCCCCGGCUAACUACGUGCCAGCCGCCGCGGUAAUAC
rnacentral:rRNA from 1 species